UAAAUGCAUUCUGAAUCACUAAUACAAAAUUUUUCUGAAUCAUUCACUUGAGCAUUAGUCACCAAAGAACGAAAGAAAAUUGGAUUUUACUGAUAUAUAAAUAAAUUUAAAAAUUUAAAACAAUCGAAGAAUAUAAUUCUGAAAUUUAACCGAUUCUUGAUUAGAAAUAAAAGAUCUUGGAAUAUAUGUCUUAGAAAUGAAAUAAGGAUAUAAAAAAAAUUAACUUGUAAAUAUCGUAAAAAUAUUUGAAGUUUCUCAGAACUCCAAAGUUUUAAGACACACAGGUAGUUGUAUAUUCUACUUAAUCUUGCCUUGAACUCGAUUAAAAAAAAAAAAAUACUCUACUGCAUGCGCGUGUUGUGUUUUUUUUUAUUGUAAACAAAUCACAUCGUUUAAGGAAGAAAAAAAUGAGGAAAUUUACCUUUAACUUGCAAUAAACUAAUACGAAAGCACCUCUUUAUUGAGUAACAUGAUGAUUGACAAUUAGAGCCGAAUUUUCCUUGCAGGAAACUAAAGAUAUCCCCCCCCCUUUCCUCACAUACACACACACAAGAUUGUACACAUAAUAAAAAAAAUUCCCGGCAUGGAAUUACCUUCUUUUUACUGCAUAUCAAUUACACUUCAAAAAGUAUAAUAAAAAUGAUAUACAUAUCUAAAUCUUUUAAAGAUUGCUAUUAAAUUUAAUGUUAAAAAAAUAGUUUUUUUUGUUAGUUCUGCUACACAUAUUUGCUGAAAACCACGUGUUGAAAAAGUUUUGGAGAAAUGUUUGAUGAAAUAAAGAAAAAAGCUUUAUUUCUUUUAAGUACUUUUCAAAUAUUUGGAAAGUAUUAAAUAGGAUAGCUUAAAUAACGAAAUCUAUAAAUUUCCAGAAUUAAAUUUUCACCUCAAUUGGAGACGAAGAAGACAGUGGAUGAAUUGGCAUCUCCCUUUUUCAAACUUCUGCUGGACCUAUGGCUUCAAAUUUAAAAUGCAUCUAGCCUGCAUCUCAACAGAAUUUGCACCAUACAUUCUGCAUAUAUAAAUCCAAAAAUCAUUCAUGAUAAACUGCUUCACUUCAGAAGAAAUGUAUCAAAAAAUACUUCAGAAGAAAGGUUUGAAAUAUUAUGACCUUUGGCUAGCUAAGUAGAAACUACUGAUUCCGUCGAAAGAAGAUUUCAAACCAGUUAGUGUAACCAGUGCAAGACAAAAAUACAGUACAAGAAAAUACAGUACAAGGAAUUGUCAAUAAUAGUUUUAUUCAAGCGAAUAAAAAAAAUCAAGAAAAUAAUAUAUUUUUUUAAUG